rnacentral:lncRNA from 1 species
CUUCACACCUCUAUAUUUCUGUGUGUGUGUCUUUAAUUCCUCUAGAGCCGCUGGGUUACGGUCUCCCCAACCGAGCUGGUCUCGGCAACCAACCCCAACCAGAAAAGAGUUGGCUUUGCCUCUUGGAAAGGACAGAGGAGAGAUUCCCAGCAACGGAAUGAACUGCAAACCACCCAGUAACAUGCCCCAAAGAGAAAGCUUCCACUUUAAAUAUUCACUAAGUUAAUUGAUGAUAACUUUUCAUGGCAGUUCUUGUAAAGAGAAGACCUUUCUCUUCUUCCUUGAACUUGUUCUAAGCCCUGGAAAUUUUGGCUAGUGAGAUACAGGUAGAAAAGUAGAGGCCCAGAGAAAGAAGAAGAGAACGUGCUGACUACACCUCAUUUUUGUCAAAGCAUUUUUAGAGAGUGCAACUAAAUGCAUGUAUUGAAACCUGGAUCUAAUGCGAUCGUGAAGAUAUCAUUUUACUAAUCUUUUAUUUAUGUCCCACACUUGGUAGGGCACACUUCAGA